rnacentral:tRNA from 1 species
CAGGAGAUAGUUUAUUUAAAAUAAUAGCUUUGGGAGUUGUUGAGGCAAGUUUGAUUCUUGUUUUCCUGA